UACGAGAGGCGCAAACGUUAUUCGGAAUUACUGGGCUUAAAGAGUUCGUAGGCGGCGCAGAAAGUAGGGUGUGAAAGCCCUCGGCUCAACCGAGGAAUUGCGCUCUAAACUACUGUGCUUGAGGAAGCUAGAGGUGAGCAGAACAGAUGGUGGAGCGGUGAAAUGCGUUGAUAUCAUCUGGAAUACCGGAGGCGAAGGCGGCUCACUGGGGCUUUCUGACGCUGAGGAACGAAAGCCAGGGUAGCGAACGGG
rnacentral:rRNA from 1 species